GACGAACGCUGGCGGCGUGCCUAAUACAUGCAAGUCGAGCGAACUUGCGGGAGCUUGCUCCCAAAAGUUAGCGGCGGACGGGUGAGUAACACGUGGGCAACCUGCCUAUAAGACUGGGAUAACUUCGGGAAACCGGAGCUAAUACCGGAUAAUUCUUUUCUACUCAUGUAGGAAAGCUGAAAGAUGGUUUCGGCUAUCACUUAUAGAUGGGCCCGCGGCGCAUUAGCUAGUUGGUGAGGUAACGGCUCACCAAGGCGACGAUGCGUAGCCGACCUGAGAGGGUGAUCGGCCACACUGGGACUGAGACACGGCCCAGACUCCUACGGGAGGCAGCAGUAGGGAAUCUUCCGCAAUGGACGAAAGUCUGACGGAGCAACGCCGCGUGAGUGAUGAAGGUUUUCGGAUCGUAAAACUCUGUUGUUAGGGAAGAACAAGUACUAGAGUAACUGCUAGUACCUUGACGGUACCUAACCAGAAAGCCACGGCUAACUACGUGCCAGCCGCCGCAGUAAGAC
rnacentral:rRNA from 1 species